GCCCGUGCUCGGGCACGGCCCCGCCCGCGGGCUCGCCGCUCGCCGCGUCCCGGGCAGGGCGCGGCGACGGGCGGGUCGGUGCCGCCCCUGGGGGC
rnacentral:tRNA from 1 species